rnacentral:rRNA from 1 species
AUUGAACGCUGGCGGCAGGCCUAACACAUGCAAGUCGAGCGGAUGAAGCGAGCUUGCUCCUGGAUUCAGCGGCGGACGGGUGAGUAAUGCAUAGGAAUCUGCCUGGUAGUGGGGGAUAACGUCCGGAAACGGGCGCUAAUACCGCAUACGUCCUGAGGGAGAAAGUGGGGGAUCUUCGGACCUCACGCUAUCAGAUGAGCCUAGGUCGGAUUAGCUAGUUGGUGGGGUAAACGCCUACCAAGCAGACGAUUCGUAACUGGUCGGAGAGGAUGAUCAGUCACACUGGAACUGAGACACGGUCCAGACUCCUACGAGAGGCAGCAGUGGGGAAUAUUGGACAAUGGGCGAAAGCCUGAUCCAGUCAUGCCGCGUGUGUGAAGAAGGUCUUCGGAUUGUAAAGCUCUUUAAGGUGGGAGGAAGGGCAGUAAGUUAAUACCUUGCUGUUUUGACGUUACCAACAGAAUAAGCACCGGCUAACUUCGUG